rnacentral:lncRNA from 1 species
CCUGGAUUGUGUUACCCAGAUGUUGGUGAUUGUUGGAAGGGGGUUGGGAAGGCUGCAGGGCAAGCUGAGUGAGAGACCAGAGGUCCCUUCCUACAGCUGAGUAGGGCAGUAGGGGGAGUGAGGGAGAGGAGCUCACUGGGGACUCUUAUUGGCACUGUGUCAUGCUGUAUGACCCACAUUCACUAGCUCCAGAGAAGGAACGGUGGAGUCUAUUCUGAUACCAAAGGGAAAUAGUAGCAUGCCGUGUAUGUGACUUCUUUAUUUCUCACAUUGUUAUGUUUUCCCUAUGCUCUUCUCUUCGACCACUAAGGCCCAUGUACAGUACGCAUACGUCUAGUAGAUUUGCUAGCAGCCCUCUAAAGAUACUGAGAAAGGAUUUGCUGUAAAUUAUAGAAGUCAUUUCGUACUCGUAUACCUGACAGGUUUCACUGUUUACCAUCUGUCAAACAGUAUUUGUGAUGAGCAUGUCUGUCUGAGGCGUUUAGGGGGGGGUGUACAGAGGAUGCGUGAGAUGCUCCCAUAAUACCACUGAGAUGAGGGAUGGCCAGUUAAAAGGGCUAUUAUAAAUAUUCUUGACAGCAGAGAGGAAUCACAGUCAUGAGACGUCCUGCGUGUGUCAGUGAUGGAUCCCGCUCGAUGGGGUUGCUAGGAGACCGCCUCCGUCCCAUUGCCCUCUCAUUGUGCUGCGAGGUUGAGAGGGGAGCUAAUCAGAGGUAAAAGCCUUCCCUCUCUCUUCUCCCCCCUGCCUCCCCCACCCGUCCCCAUCCACCCACCCAUCCUGUCCAAAUCAAUGGAGAAGUCACCAUCAGCAGGCCUAGAAGGUAUCUGGACACACUCAGAAAAAUGCUCACUCAUUGUCUGAGACACAGUCCAUGCCUUACUCGCUCUCUCUUUAUCUGGGAUAGCUAGUAUCUUUGUGCCUGUAUGGAGUAGACUAUCUCUGCGAGUCCCAGACCUUAGUGGCCUAUGUGGCUGUUUGUUUUCCUAGUAUGUCUAUCUCUUAGUGUGGAUUUAUUUUACAACUGUUUCUCGGUGUGUCUGAAGACGUCUCCCCAAUAAGACACUGUAGUCCCCAACGAUGCCUGAACUAGCUCAAGCAGAUGCAACAGAAAUGUGGGAAAUUUCACAAAGGAUAUGCCUGCUUGAAGUAAACUAGAGCCUUUAUAAGAGCACUCUGGGAUUGAGUCCAAGACUGCUUUGUUUUGUUGAACUUUUUUUUUUUUCCUCAUGAGAAUUGUUUUGGAACACUAAAAGCAAUGCAAAAUACAGUUAUGAAAAAUACAGUUAUGAAAAAUACAGUAUUGAAAAAUACAGUUAUGAAAUAUUAUGUCAGGGAAUGAUUGAGGUAUCAACACUCUGUGUGUAUGUGUUUUGUGUGAGUAUGUAUAUUUUCGAGUGCUAUUGCUCUGUAGUCUCCUUAUAGCCUUAUAGUAUAACUACUUCCUCUCGCUCUCUCUGUUGAACACCACUCUACUUUUUUGCGCUGGUCUGGUCUUCUCUGAAGCCCAUCUAGGCCCAGCCUUGGCCCCAGGGGGACUGUAACAAUGGGCUCUCCCACAAAGUGCAGCAUUGUCCUCUAUGCUGUCAUUGCUCCAGCCCAGAAGGAAGGCAGGCUGAGCCCUAGGCCAGGAUCGGGAAGCUUCCUUCCUCCCACAAUCCCACUCUGUCCCAACCCCACAGCUCUGUCAUGGUCAGGGAGGGAGCAGAGCAGCCAAGGCAGUCUGAUGUUUUAUAUCCAAGAUAGAGAGGAACACAGCAGACUGUUCAUUCUAUAUAUUCCGUUAGUUGUUGUUUGUGGCCAGGCAUCCUGCACAGUUGCUUCAUAUCAUGUCUCACAGUUAACCACUAGCUUGACAAAAUUGUUUUGUUAUUCAAUGCAAACAACAACCACACAGGAUGCCAAACUGAUCUUGGUAGAGAGAAAGAGAGAUAUGUUAGAAAGAUGACAUGGAAGACAUGUCAAGAGAAAGGGGUUCGGUUUGAUCCUCGCUUUCGAUUUCUCAAUCCUCUGUUUGAUGUUUGUCAGACCCAGAGGUUGGUGGGAAGAUGAUCGAUGCGCUUCGAUUGAGUCUCGAUGCCUCAGCUCCAGACACACUCAGUGGGUGUGCAUCCCUAUCCCAGAGCGCAUCUCACCUUACUCACUCAGCAGAGCGUGAUCAACUGAAACCACAUGCUAUUAACUCUCAACUGACUUACGGUAGACUGCUCCUCCCAGAUCCUUGGAAAACCAGGCAACUAAAAGCCUACCAGGCUAUGGCAGCGCAGCAUUACAUCUUACAAAUGUUUUAAAAACUUCACAGAAAUGUUGUGUGAAAGUUACUACCCGGGUAAUGCUUCAGUGAGUUCGUUUUUUUUUAAAACCUCACCACGCCUAUUAACAUCGAUGGGAUGAAAAUAAAAAGUUCAUUUGUCUGUAUGAUUAUCAUGAUUAUUUGUAAUAUUAAUUUAGAAUUUUUCUUUGAACGCCGUAUGAUUCUUUUUGUACUUUUAAUAACAUUCCGUAUGUGUUUUUAUUUUAUUUUGCUGUAGAAAGUGAAGAUUUUAUACAUUUGUGUUGUGUGUUCACCUCUUGUUGAGUGUGUUGACUAUCCAUGCUGGACAUGUACACAAUAAAAUGCUCUAAAAAC